CUAGCCAAAGAGGGACUUCCCCCUCCUUAAUGAU
rnacentral:tRNA from 6 species